CCGACAUCUGGAUAAAGUCUUGUAGAAGAUGAGUAUAGUGGUCAUUCUUAAUGAAUACGAUGUUCUUGGACUUAUCGUCUUUGGUACAUGUGAUAGACUGAUUUCUUAACCACUGCUUGAUAUAAUCUAUCUUCGCUUGAUACUUCUUAUUGAUGAUGCGUGUUUUUCGGUCCACCUUCUUAGCUGCUACAAGCUCCCAUCUAACUCUCUCUUUAUGUGCGUCAUCAAAUUCUUGUAAUAGGUUGUCCACAUAUGGCGCAAUAUUGCAUAUAUUUGGUACGGACUGGGGCACCAUAGUAGGUGCAUUGAGUAGCAGUUCCUUAACGGGUCCCAGAAGUUCUAUAUCACCGGCAACGUAUGCCACAUCUUCUAUGUGUAGCUACGAGUGGUUAGCUCAAACACGUUGUUUAUGUAAUAUC
rnacentral:lncRNA from 1 species